UACGAAGGGGGCUAGCGUUGCUCGGAAUCACUGGGCGUAAAGGGUGCGUAGGCGGGUCUUUAAGUCAGGGGUGAAAUCCUGGAGCUCAACUCCAGAACUGCCUUUGAUACUGAAGAUCUUGAGUUCGGGAGAGGAGAGUGGAAUUCCCAGUGUAGAGGUGAAAUUCGUAGAUAUUGGGAAGAACACCGGUGGCGAAGGCGGCUCUCUGGACCGAUACUGACGCUGAGGCGCGAAAGCGUGGGGAGCAAACAGGG
rnacentral:rRNA from 1 species